UACUUUGCUGGAACUUUGUGUUUCUCCAAGGCCCACCACAUGACAUUCCGCGGUAUCUUAUCAUAGGCCUUCUCCAAGUCAAUGAACACCAUAUGCAAGUCACAGAGAACAGAAAAAGAGUGACAUAAUAGUUCUUGAUUCGGAUGAUGAUGAUGAAAGCACAGGAGCACACAAAUGACUGACGCCUGAGAAAAACAAACAGCUCACACCUGAGAAAAUAAACAGCUGAUACCAUCAGAACAGGCUGGUGCUCAUGAGAGGUAACCGAAGAAAUUGAUGAAGUAAAUGAGACAAUGCAUGCUAGAGAUCAAAACAGUCAAAUUGUUCCAUAUAGUCCAAGUGCAACUUCAAUGAAUCAGUAUCCUUCGGCCAGCUAUCAACCAUCAGCAGUUCUGUUUGAGAGAGUUAUAUUGCAGAAAAGACCUGAGGAGGAACGUAUCCAUGAUCUGGCUGUAUGUUGCUACCCAUGAGGAGAAAAUAGCAGAAACACAAGUUUCCCCUCCACUUCCUAAGGAGAAAAAAGAAAACGAAAAGUUGAUCCAAGGUCCCAAGUAGAUGGGGAUGUUGAAAUUGUGCCAAGAAAAGAAAAAGAAAAAAUGAAGCAAAUCCAGCAGUAUUUGAUUUGCCCUCAGAACCUUACAAUCCUGUGGGGUAAGACGUGCCUAUGGAGGAAGAUGAGCCUAUGGGGGAAGAUGAGCCUAUGGACGAAGAACAUAUACAAGAAAAGGAAAGUGAUGGUCUUGAAGAAUUUUGGAAUGAGUACUCAGUGGCACUUGAAAGCUCUAAGCUCGACACACUUGAAGAGGCAGCCAAUGAGAAAGAGGUGAACAACGUCUGCAAUCAUGAAAUACAGAUUCAUGAAGAUCUGGGCCAUGUAUGCCGUGUCUGCGGUAUGAUUGUGAGAGAAGGGCUGACACAAUCAUUGAUCAUCGAUGGAGAAAGACAUCAAGGUCAAGAUCAUAUUUCUCUGAAAUGCGUUCAAAGGAUUCUGAUGAGAUUGUCACUGGUGAUGUUAGAAUCGUUGAAGAACUGAAUGCGUUAGACAUUGUUAUUCAUCCAAGACAUGAAAAGCAAAUAAGACCACAUCAGUUGGCAGGUUUCCACUUUCUGGUUAAGAAUUUAGUCUCUGACAAACCAGGAGGUUGCAUUCUAGCUCAUGCCCCUGGUUCGGGGAAAACAUUUAUGCUGAAGUCUUGUUUGGCUCUACCAAGGCAUGCGGGGAGGGCAUCUCCCUGGUGGGCACAUCAAGAGUCGUCAUUCUAGAUGUUCACUUGAACCCCUCUGUUACCUGUCAAGCAAUCAGGCCGGCGUACUGGCCUGGGCAGCAAAAGAAAGUGUUCGCUCGUAGCAGCUGAUUCUCUGGAGAACACCUAUGAAACUGCAUUCAAGAAGGUGAUACCAAAGCUUUGGUUUGAAUGGAGCGAGCAGUGCUGCACAUCGGAGGACUUCCAGCUGAACGAAGUUGAUAUCAACAACAGGGGGGAUGAGCUGCGGGACAACAGGACGAUGUGCUAGGACAUCAAGGCUUUUUGUAUGCAAGGUGAAGGCAGGCUGGCUGUUGUACGUACACCAUGUAUAUAUGGCUUUCCGAUUGUUCCAGAUUGUCAUUGUUGUCAAGUAAGGCUCCUCUAGAACCAAAAGAAAGAGGAAACAUACUUGACUUGGUACAUCUUUACAGAUACCUUAUAUUGGUUCUUAUGGGCCUUCUCUUCCUUCAGAUGCAUCAAACACUCUACAUGUUGAAAGUCUCCCAUCCAACUGUACUAGACAGGAGCUUGCACGUAUCCCUUUAUGCAUAUGAUUCUCUUGCUAUUUUUUUUGUCAUUUUGUUCAUAACUAAACAAUAUUUUAUGUUUAUGUCCUUACCAA